CACGUAGGGGGCGAGCGUUGUCCGGAAUCAUUGGGCGUAAAGAGCUCGUAGGCGGCUCGGUAAGUCGGGUGUGAAACCCCCAGGCUUAACCUGGGGACGCCACCCGAUACUGCUGUGGCUAGAGUCCAGUAGGGGAGUGUGGAAUUCCCGGUGUAGCGGUGAAAUGCGCAGAUAUCGGGAGGAACACCAGCGGCGAAGGCGGCACUCUGGGCUGGAACUGACGCUGAGGAGCGAAAGCGUGGGUAGCAAACAGG
rnacentral:rRNA from 1 species